rnacentral:rRNA from 1 species
AACGAACGCUGGCGGCAUGCCUAACACAUGCAAGUCGAACGAGAUCUUCGGGUCUAGUGGCGCACGGGUGCGCAACGCGUGGGAAUCUGCCCUUUGGUUCGGAAUAACAGUUGGAAACGACUGCUAAUACCGGAUGAUGACGAAAGUCCAAAGAUUUAUCGCCAGAGGAUGAGCCCGCGUAGGAUUAGCUAGUUGGUGUGGUAAAGGCGCACCAAGGCGACGAUCCUUAGCUGGUCUGAGAGGGUGAUCAGCCACACUGGGACUGAGACACGGCCCAGACUCCUACGGGAGGCAGCAGUGGGGAAUAUUGGACAAUGGGCGAAAGCCUGAUCCAGCAAUGCCGCGUGAGUGAUGAAGGCCUUAGGGUUGUAAAGCUCUUUUACCCGGGAUGAUAAUGACAGUACCGGGAGAAUAGGCUCCGGCUAACUCCGUGCCAGCCGCCGCCGUAA